UGAUUUUGGUAACAAAAGAUUAGAUUAGAUUAGAUGAUUUAUUUCAUGAAAGACAAUUAAAUAAUAAGUUUGCAUUUAUGUCAAAAAUAUAAGAAUUUCUAUCAUGAUCGUCAAAAUAAAAUGAAAAUAAUAACAAUACUAAUUAAAUUAAAUUAUAGCUCCAAUAAGGAUUGUCAACAUAAUUAGAAUAAGUGUAAGUAGGUAAAUACUUACAAAUCCAAAAUAUAAAUUUACAAUGUCAAAACUUACGAGAAUACAAGAACAGAAAAAAUAAAAACAAUGAAUAAAAAGUAGGUAUAAAAUAAUAUCUCCCAAUAAGAAUCGUCAACACACAACAAA